UACGGGGGGAGCAAGCGUUGUUCGGAUUUACUGGGCGUAAAGGGCGCGUAGGCGGCGUGACAAGUCACUUGUGAAAUCUCCGGGCUUAACUCGGAACGGUCAAGUGAUACUGUCGUGCUAGAGUACAGAAGGGGCAACUGGAAUUCUCGGUGUAGCGGUGAAAUGCGUAGAUAUCGAGAGGAACACCUGCGGCGAAGGCGGCUCUCUGGGACGGUACUGACGCUGAGACGCGAAAGCGUGGGGAGCGAACAGG
rnacentral:rRNA from 1 species